CUCAAACCAAGUCAUUUAUAUGAUUACUUGCCCUUGCGGAUUAGCGUAUAUAGGUAGAACUAUUAGGACACUUAAUACAAGAGCAUAUAAGAAACAUUAAAAAAGGGUUUGAAAAACAGUGUUUCGCUGUAUUUUAAAGAACACAAUUGCGAUCCCCACCUAAUGAAUUUUAUAGGAAUUCAAAAAAAUUGUGAAUUGGAGAGGUGGAGACCUGUUGAAACAUAUAGGACAAACAGAGAUGCGAUGGAAUUUUAAUUUGAACACUAUGCAACCAUAUGGACUUAAU